CCAUUACUUUUUCUCCCUUUUUUGUAGUGGGUUGUCUUUACUUACCUUAAACUCCCUUUUAUACUCUUUUGUGGUUGUGUAGCAACCCUUUGGAGUAUUUUUUUUGGAAAAAAUGCUAAAUAUAAGAAAACUCCUCAAACAAGGGAAAGUUCGAGGAGUUCGGCAUUUACCAAUAUUUAUAAAUGCCACUGGGGAUUUUCUAAGUGAACAAAGAUAUGGAUGUUUGGGAAAGCAUCCACUUUGAGAAUUUACCAUAGAUAGCUGGCGUUAAGUUGUAAUGUAGUAUAAAUCAUACAAUUCUUGUAGUACAUCAUAUAUAGCACUGAAUUACCAAAUUCCUGAUAAAUAAGGAAAGGGUGGAAUAAAAGUAUCUCAUCAGGUAUAUUUAAAUUACACGGGAGUUAAGGAGGUAACGAUAAGUUGAGUAAUUUUAACAUCAUGGGAUCUUUAAUGCUUAUAGCUGUUUUAGUUUUAGCAGUGUAUGUUAUUACCAAAGUUAUUAACAAAUUAAAAAAAUAAGUAGAGUUUAACUAAAA
rnacentral:sRNA from 1 species